GUAGCUCAGUGGUAGAGCACUUGGUCAGCAAGCAUGAGGCCCUGGGUUCAAUCCCUAGC
rnacentral:tRNA from 1 species